UACGAACGGUCCAAACGUUAUUCGGAAUCACUGGGCUUAAAGCGUCCGUAGGCGGCUCGGAAAGUAGGGUGUGAAAUCCCACGGCUCAACCGUGGAAUUGCGCUCUAAACUAUCGAGCUAGAGGGAGAUAGAGGUGAGCGGAACUGAUGGUGGAGCGGUGAAAUGCGUUGAUAUACAUCAGGAACACCGGAGGCGAAGGCGGCUCACUGGUCUUUCUGACGCUGAGGACGAAAGCUAGGGAGCGAA
rnacentral:rRNA from 1 species